AACGCACAUUGCGCCCUUUGGUAUUCCGAAGGGCAUGCCUGUUCGAGCGUCAUUAUCACCCCUCGAGCCCCCGGGCUUGGUGUUGGACGGUUUUGGUCGCGCCCCCUCCCGGGCGUCGACCCCUCCUAAAGACAAUGACGGCGGCCUCGUGGCGCCCCCGGUACAGUGAGCUUCUUGAGUGAGCACGUAUCGGCGUGUCGGGCGUCCGGGUCCCGGUCCUCUCCCCCCGUCGCGGGGGGAAAAACCUCUUUGGGUUUUUUUUCUCAACCAGGUUGACCUCGGAUCAGGUAGGAAUACCCGCUGAACUUAA
rnacentral:misc_RNA from 1 species